rnacentral:lncRNA from 1 species
GUGGGGGUGGGGAGCGGUCACCGUAGGCUUUUAAACUGGGAAGUGGCUUGAUUCAUUAUAUGUUUAAAGAUACCUCUGGAUGCUUGACUGAGAGGACUCCAGGGGGCUAACGUGGAGGCAGGGAGACAGUUGGGAGCCUCCGGCAUUUGCAGGGUCUCUUAGUCUCUUGCUGAAACCAUUAUCUCAGCCCACCUGUACAGGGUCUUGAAAUCCUGUUAAUCUCUUGCAAAGUUCUUCCUUGACAAAACUCUCCCUUGAGAGACUGUCCUUGUAGUGGAUGUCUGCUGUCUCUCCAUGACCAGCAUCCACUUCUCCUUGUGCUGUAACAGCUUCGUACCUGGCCUUGAUAAAGGAUCCUUCCUCCACUCCCACUUCCGUGCUCAGCUCGGGGGAGCUCACUUUGUCUCCAGCUCUAGAGCAUAUCUUUAUCAUAUGAGCAAGGAGCCGCCACUGAAGAGUUUUAGUAUGUCCCUAUGAGGACAGAGUCAAUGGCAGGAUGUGGUGAUAGAGGGCAUCCUUGUCUUGUUCCUGUUUUCAGAGGGAUGGGGUUCAGUUUUUGCCCAUUGAGUAUGAUGUUGGCUAUGGGUUUGUCAUAUAUGGCCUUUAUUAUGUUGAGGUAGUUUCCUUCUAUGCCCAUUUUGUUCAGAGUUUUUAUCAUAAAUGGCUGUUGGAUCUUGUCAAAUGCCUUCUCUGCAUCUAUUGAGAUGAUCAUGUGGUUUUUAUUCCUCAGUUUGUUGGUGUGGUUUAUCACGUUGAUUGAUUUGCGGAUGUUGAACCAUCCCUUAUUUAUUUUCCAAUUCUUUCUUAGAGCCAUCAGUCAAUCACAUACAUGGUCUGCCUCCCAAGUUAUCACAAGGGACAGUGUGACCAAAUGUUUGCUGCUGCCCACUAGGGAGAACCAUGCUAGUGGCCUCUGACAGCAGUUUCCAGGCGCCUCAUCUUCCAACUGCUAAGCUAAUGCUGCAUAUUUUCAGUUGUUGUUAUAAAAUCACCCCACUCCUGGUACUAAUUUCUGUGUUGCAAACAGAGCUAGGCUAUGUUGUAAUAACAAACGAAUCCUGAGGUGUCAAUUGUCUAAUGCAGACAAUGCCUACUUCUUGCUCAUGCCACGUGCCCAGUGUUGGCUGGCAGGAGAUGUGCUCUGCCCCCACCUCAGGGAGGCUCCACCAGAAAGUGCUUACGGUCCUCUCAGCACAUGGCUUCUGGGUGGAUGGUGGCUGAGUGACAGUGGGGAGAUCAUGCGGGCUACUCCCUGCCUCAGCCUGCCUCUGAGCCAGGACUAAUGUCCUGGCCCUGUCUACCUGCAGGAAAACGGGACAGAGUCCCCUUGGAUGCCCAAAGGGAGGACCAGAUAUGAGUGAGCACCACAAGUUUCUACCACAUUUACUUAAUAUUGUCUUUCAAUUGAAUGACUUUUACAUAAAAAGCUCUCAUUUAAAUUAGAACUUGUACUUCUUGAGAGAAAUUAUAUGUAUAAGGAAACUUAACAUAACUGGUAUCAUUUGCCAAAAAUAGAUGGUAAGCACAAAUAUAUCAGAAACAGAAACGAAGUACACUUUAAAAUUUUACGUAGAUAUUGUCGAUAAAGGGUCCAAGUCGAAAACCACUCUUUCUUUAUAAAAAACAAGGAGGGAAGCUAACGAUAGAGAGGUGUUAAAGAUACACUAGCCCCAAACUCAGACACUCUCCUUGGCAAAAUCAGACAGAAAGAGAAGUAAAAUGUGAGUAACGUCCUAAUUAUGUGACUCGGUGUUAUUUAACGCCCUGUCCACGUAGCUUCUAGAAUGAUGUAGUAUAUACCAGCCGUACUCACACCUGUGAGCUACUCUGACCUAAAGCAUGUCUGGGUGAACAGAAUCAGAUAUUUGGGGCCUGGUCUGACCGCCACAUUUGUAGGCAGAUUCCUAUA